rnacentral:rRNA from 1 species
AACGAACGCUGGCGGCAGGCCUAACACAUGCAAGUCGAACGCCGUAGCAAUACGGAGUGGCAGACGGGUGAGUAACGCGUGGGAACAUACCCCUCGGUUCGGAAUAACUCAGGGAAACUUGAGCUAAUACCGGAUACGUCCGAGGUUUUAAUCGACCUUGGAGAAAGAUUUAUCGCCGGAGGAUUGGCCCGCGUCUGAUUAGCUUGUUGGUGAGGUAAUGGCUCACCAAGGCGACGAUCAGAGCUGGUCUGAGAGGAUGAUCAGCCACAUUGGGACUGAGACACGGCCCAAACUCCUACGGGAGGCAGCAGUGGGGAAUAUUGGACAAUGGGCGAAAGCCUGAUCCAGCCAUGCCGCGUGAGUGAUGAAGGCCUUAGGGUUGUAAAGCU